rnacentral:rRNA from 1 species
AUUGAACGCUGGCGGCAUGCCUUACACAUGCAAGUCGAACGGCAGCGCGGACUUCGGUCUGGCGGCGAGUGGCGAACGGGUGAGUAAUGUAUCGGAACGUACCAUUGAGUGGGGGAUAAAGUAGCGAAAGUUACGCUAAUACCGCAUAUUCUCUCCGGAGGAAAGCAGGGGACCGCAAGGCCUUGCGCUCUUUGAGCGGCCGAUAUCAGAUUAGCUAGUUGGUGGGGUAAAAGCUCACCAAGGCGACGAUCUGUAGCGGGUCUGGGAGGAUGAUCCGCCACACUGGAACUGAGACACGGUCCAGACUCCUACGGGAGUCAGCAGUGGGGAAUUUUGGACAAUGGGGGCAACCCUGAUCCAGCCAUGCCGCGUGAGUGAAGAAGGCCUUCGGGUUGUAAAGCUCUUUCGGCCGGGAAAAAAUCGCAUGGAUUAAUACUCUGUGUGGAUGAUGGUACCGGAAUAAGAAGCACCGGCUAACUACGUGCCAGCAGCCGCAGUAAAAC